rnacentral:rRNA from 1 species
UACGAAGGGGGCUAGCGUUGCUCGGAAUCACUGGGCGUAAAGCGCACGUAGGCGGAUCUUUAAGUCAGGGGUGAAAUCCUGGAGCUCAACUCCAGAACUGCCCUUGAUACUGGGGAUCUUGAGUCCGGAAGAGGUUAGUGGAACUGCGAGUGUAGAGGUGAAAUUCGUAGAUAUUCGCAAGAACACCAGUGGCGAAGGCGGCUAACUGGUCCGGUACUGACGCUGAGGUGCGAAAGCGUGGGGAGCAAACAGG